rnacentral:rRNA from 1 species
UACGGAGGGAGCUAGCGUUAUUCGGAAUUACUGGGCGUAAAGCGCACGUAGGCGGCUUUGCAAGUCAGAGGUGAAAGCCCGGGCUCAACCCGGAAUUGCCUUUGAGACUGCAUCGCUAGAAUUGUGGAGAGGUAAGUGGAAUUCCGAGUGUAGAGGUGAAAUUCGUAGAUAUUCGGAAGAACACCAGUGGCGAAGGCGACUUACUGGACACAUAUUGACGCUGAGGUGCGAAAAGCGUGGGGAGCAAACAGGG